UGUACUUUUAUCUCCUAACAUACUUUAGUUGGUGCUAAAAAUGUUCUUUUUAUAAUUCACCAAAGCGAUUAUUUGAAAAGGUUUCAAUUUGUUGCAAGAAUCACCCCACUGGACGACUGCAAUCUUUCAUUACAUUCUAAUGAACAGCCAUGCCAAAACCUAGAAAGCAGAUUCCAAACUCAUUGCGCAGGAAACAACACAGCAGGAGGUUUGAGACACUGCUCGAGAACUCCGAGGAAAGCCUCUCGUGUUACAUCAAGCAGAAGUAGCCUUCUGAAAUAAGUUGGUGUGACAAGAAAGCAUGAACACAGUCCCAAAGCCAGCAAGUUAUUUGGCGAGGCUCAGAAAUUGAAGAAGAUUUCAAAACUUCUGGACAAGAAAGUCAAGUCUUUCAGGGCAAGAGUGCUGCUGGCUGAGAAAUUCAGCACAGUUGACUGUUUCAACAGCCUCAUUUCCACGGAUGAUAAAGUAGUCUUAAACUUCAUUCAACUUGACUAGUGUCCAACGUAACGGCAACUUUCGGAAUAGCUUUGGAACAUUUUUUUAUUAAUUUCAUAUUUUGUUUCAUUCACUAUUUGUAUGUGCUGGAGUGGCCUAUUGUGAAUUUUAAUGAAUCAUCUGUUGUGCUGUUCCCUAUACCUGUUUGUUAUUUGUUAGUGCAGAAUUUCCUGUCAUAUUAUUUCUCAGAGAAAUUGGCCCCCCUUUUAAAAUUCAAUUUAAUCAGUUUGUUUUAUUCUGUAGGUACCAUUUUCUAUAAUAUUGUGGGAGCUAUUGGUAAUGUAAAUAGUAAAUGUUAUUAAUCAGUGUUACUAUUUUAAGCUUGACUAGUGUUUGUUUUGUUGCAAUAUGGUACAUCAUUUGUUACUAUGGAUUUUAGGAAGAUUUCAAAGAAAUACUACCUAUUGUAGUCGUUACCAUGGUGCGACUUCUGAAAAUUUUUAUAAUUUUUCGCUUCUUGGUCCAUAGACCUCAAAACCCCCGUCAAUUCAAAAGUUAUAUAUAUAUAUAUAUAUAUAUAUAUAAUCACUUUCUUGUUGACACGAUAACUCAUAAUUUUUCCAAUAUCAAUCCCAAACUGAUACAUAAAAUCUAAAUUUAGAAUAUAUCGGUUCAGUUCGUUAAUGGGAAAUAUCCGACCAAAGGGCUGGAAAUGGGGUAGGUUUUUUUAAAAAAAAACAU